GCUUUUAUAGUUUAAUUAAAAUAUUGAUCUUGUAAAUCAGAGAACAACCUAUAUGUAAAAGCU
rnacentral:tRNA from 1 species